AUGUUACCAGGCUACCAGUGAAGGGAUAUCCAGCACACCAAUACCACAUGGGAAACACUCCACUAUCCACCACAGAGGCAGAGAAAGACCUGGGAGUGUAUGUUACCAGGCUACCAGUGAAGGGAUAUCCAGCACACCAAUACCACAUGGGAAACACUCCACUAUCCACCACAGAGGCAGAGAAAGACCUGGGAGUGUAUGUUACCAGGCUACCAGUGAAGGGAUAUCCAGCACACCAAUACCACAUGGGAAACACUCCACUAUCCACCACAGAGGCAGAGAAGGUUAGACACAGGAUGAAUGCAAGCCUAUAUACACAUACCUCUUGCCUUCUGCUAAUGUUCGCUGUGCCUCUGAGCUUCUGCGUACCCUUAGCAAUACCUGGAAAAGAACAGCGUAUUGAAAUAUUCUUGUAAGGGAAAGCUUGUCUGCAUAACUCACUGAUGUGUUUAAUAAGAAAAUUUUAGGGGUAUGGAAAAGUAAAGAUUGUGGGAAAUCGUAAAUAGUUUUUGCAGCAUUGUUGAUGUUCACCUAAACAAUCACAGAUAUUUUUAGCAGGGGAAGCUCAAGUUCGUAAAACCAAUAUUAGGAUGUCGUACAGAGAGACUUGGGUCCGCAGGAAUUCUGAAAUCGUAAAACCAAUCUUGGGAAUAUUCUGGUCGGGAAAGUUCAAAGGAGUCUGGAUAUUUUUUGACAAAGUUCGAGGUCAUGAAUCCAAGCUUAGGGGUCACUGAGGUUAGGUUUUUGCAAGGGAAAGUUUAAAAUCGUAAAACCAAUCUAGGAAAUGGUUUUGGUCGAGAAAGUUCAAACUCGUCAAAGGAGUCUGGAUAUUUUUUGACAAAGUUUGAGGUCAUGAAUCCAAGCUUAGGGGUCAUUGAGGUUAGGUUUUUGCAAGGGAAAGUUUAAAAUCGUAAAACCAAUCUUGGAAAUGGUUUUGGUCGAGAAAGUUCAAACUCGUCAAAGCAGUCUGGAUAUUUUUUGACAAAGUUCGAGGUCAUGAAACUAAUCUUAGGGUUCAUUGAGGUUAGGUUUUUGCAAGGGAAAGUUUAAAAUCGUAAAACCAAUCUUGGAAAUGGUUUUGGUCGAGAAAGUUCAAACUCGUCAAAGGAGUCUGGAUAUUUUUUGACAAAGUUCGAGGUCAUGACACCAAUCUUAGGGGUCACUUAGGUUAGGUUUUUGCUAAGUUGAAAGGUCAUAAAGGUCACCAAUUCUACAGUGAAGGUCGCCUGUAUGACCCAAUAUGACCCCUUCAAUAGUUAUCUAAUUUCCAUAUCAAUUAUAUUUUUUGUGGUGAUUUUUUUUCAAGGAAGGAAGGAAGGGAAGGAAGGAAGGAAAGAAAGGAAGGAAAGAAGGGAGGGAAGAAAG